rnacentral:rRNA from 1 species
CCGGAAUUGCUAGUAAUGGCAGGUCAGCAUACUGCCGUGAAUACGUUCCCGGGCCUUGUACACACCGCCCGUCACACCAUGAGAGUUGGGGAUACCCAAAGCCCGUGAGCCAACUAUAAAGAGGCAGCGGUCUAAGGUAGAAUCAAUGAUUGGGGUGAAGUCGUAACAAGGUAAC